GCUGACAUGAGUAACGAUAAUGCGGGUGAAAAACCCGCACGCCGGAAGACCAAGGGUUCCUAUCCCAUGUUAAUCAGGGUAGGGUAAGUCGACCCCUAAGGCGAGGCCGAAAGGCGUAGUCGAUGGGAAACGGAUUAAUAUUUCCGUACUUGGUAUAAUUGCGAUGGGGGGACGGAGAAGGCUAAGCAAGCAUGGCGAUGGUUGUCCAUGUGAAAGUGAGUAGGGCGUUUGUUUAGGUAAAUCCGGACGAACAUUAAACCUGAGACACGAGACGAGUCACUACGGUGAUGAAGUUGCUGAUGCCAUACUUCCAGGAAAAGCCUCUAAGCUUCAGAUUAUACCGAAUCGUACCCCAAACCGACACAGGUGGUCAGGUAGAGAAUACUAAGGCGCUUGAGAGAACUCGGGUGAAGGAACUAGGCAAAAUCGUACCGUAACUUCGGGAGAAGGUACGCUCCUAUCUGUGAUGAGACUUGCUCUCUAAGCGGACGGGAGCCGCAGUGACCAGGUGGCUGGGACUGUUUAUUAAAAACACAGCACUGUGCAAAAUCGCAAGAUGACGUAUACGGUGUGACACCUGCCCGGUGCCGGAAGGUUAAUUGAUGGGGUUAUCUUCGGAGAAGCUCUUGAUCGAAGCCCCGGUAAACGGCGGCCGUAACUAUAACGGUCCUAAGGUAGCGAAAUUCCUUGUCGGGUAAGUUCCGACCUGCACGAAUGGUGUAACCAUGGCCACGCUGUCUCCACCCGAGACUCAGUGAAAUUGAAAUCGCAGUGAAGAUGCUGUGUACCCGCGGCUAGACGGAAAGACCCCGUGAACCUUUACUACAGCUUGGCACUGAACAUUGAACCUACAUGUGUAGGAUAGGUGGGAGACUUUGAAGAUGAGACGCUAGUCUUGUUGGAGUCGUCCUUGAAAUACCACCCUUGUAGUUUUGAUGUUCUAACGUUGGCCCCUGAAUCGGGGUUACGGACAGUGCCUGGUGGGUAGUUUGACUGGGGCGGUCUCCUCCCAAAGAGUAACGGAGGAGCACGAAGGUUGGCUAAGUACGGUCGGACAUCGUACGGUUAGUGUAAUGGUAGAAGCCAGCUUAACUGCGAGACAGACACGUCGAGCAGGUACGAAAGUAGGUCAUAGUGAUCCGGUGGUUCUGUAUGGAAGGGCCAUCGCUCAACGGAUAAAAGGUACUCCGGGGAUAACAGGCUGAUACCGCCCAAGAGUUCAUAUCGACGGCGGUGUUUGGCACCUCGAUGUCGGCUCAUCACAUCCUGGGGCUGAAGCCGGUCCCAAGGGUAUGGCUGUUCGCCAUUUAAAGUGGUACGCGAGCUGGGUUUAGAACGUCGUGAGACAGUUCGGUCCCUAUCUGCCGUGGGCGUUUGAGAAUUGAGAGGGGUUGCUCCUAGUACGAGAGGACCGGAGUGAACGAACCGCUGGUGUUCGGGUUGUCAUGCCAAUGGCAUUGCCCGGUAGCUACGUUCGGAACUGAUAAGCGCUGAAAGCAUCUAAGCGCGAAGCAGGCCUCGAGAUGAGUUCUCACUAGACUUUUAAAGUCUCUGAAGGGCCGUUGAAGACUACAACGUUGAUAGGCAAGAUGUGGAAGUGGUGUGAGCCAUUAAGCUAACUUGUACUAAUUACCCGUGAGGCUUAACC
rnacentral:rRNA from 1 species